AUUGAACGCUGUCGGCAGGCUUAACACAUGCAAGUCGAACGAGCGGCGGACGGGUGAGUAAUGCUUGGGAAUCUGGCUGAUGGAGGGGGAUAACUACUGGAAACUGUAGCUAAUACCGCAUACCAUAGGAUGAGCCCAAUUGGGAUUAGUUAGUAGGUAAGGUAAAGGCUGAACAAGCCGACGAUCCCUAGCUGGUCUGAGAGGAUGAUCAGACACACUGGGACGGAGACACGGCCCAGACUCCUACGGGAGGCAGCAGUGGGGAAUAUUGAACGAUGGGCGCAAGCCGGAGACAGCCAAGCCGCGUGAAUGAAGAAGGCCUUCGGGUUGUAAAGUUCUUUCAGUAGGGAGGCGUUAACAACAGAAGAAGCACCGGCUAACUCCGUGCCCGCCGCCGCGGUAAUAC
rnacentral:rRNA from 1 species